GACGAACGCUGGCGGCGUGCCUAACACAUGCAAGUCGAACGAGAUCCAUGGGAGCUUGCUCCCGGAAGAUCUAGUGGCGAACGGGUGAGUAACACGUGAGAAACCUGCCCUGGAGUGGGGAAUAACUCGGGGAAACUCGAGCUAAUACCGCAUACCCUCGGAUGGUCGCAUGGCCGACCGAGGAAAGAUUUAUCGCUCUAGGAGGGUCUCGCGGCCUAUCAGCUAGUUGGUGGGGUAACGGCCUACCAAGGCAACGACGGGUAGCUGGUUUGAGAGAACGAUCAGCCACACUGGGACUGAGACACGGCCCAGACUCCUACGGGAGGCAGCAGUGGGGAAUCUUGCGCAAUGGGCGAAAGCCUGACGCAGCAACGCCGCGUGCGGGAUGACGGCCUUCGUGGUUGUAACCGCUUUCAGCAGGACGAAAAUAGACGGUACCUGCAGAAGAAGACCCCGGCGUAACUACGUGCCAGCAGCCGCGGUAAU
rnacentral:rRNA from 1 species